rnacentral:rRNA from 1 species
GACGAACGCUGGCGGUGUGCUUAACACAUGCAAGUCGAACGGUAAGGCCCUUUCGGGGGUACACGAGUGGCGAACGGGUGCGUAACACGUGAGUAACCUGCCCUCAUCUCUGGGAUAACAGUCGGAAACGGUUGCUAAUACUGGAUAUGAGCUUGCAAGGCAUCUUGUGGGUUGGAAAGAUUUUUUUGGUUGGGGAUGGACUCGCGGCCUAUCAGCUUGUUGGUGAGGUAGUGGCUCACCAAGGCUUCGACGGGUAGCCGGCCUGAGAGGGCGACCGGCCACAUUGGGACUGAGAUACGGCCCAAACUCCUACGGGAGGCAGAAGUGGGGAAUAUUGCACAAUGGACGGAAGUCUGAUGCAGCAACGCCGCGUGCGGGAUGACGGCCUUAGGGUUGUAAACCGCUUUCAAUUGUGACGAAGCUUUUUGUGACGGUAGCAGUAGAAGAAGCACCGGCUAACUACGUG